CCGGCGGCGAGUCUCCGGCGUCGGUGAGGGUGGGUUUUUUGCUACGUUUUUUGAGUCCCAUUUUUUUGGUUGUUAUGGAGGAGAGAGAAUGUGGGAAAGUUAGGGGGUUUGAGGAGGUGAAAAGUGUUGGGAAAAUGGUGAUGAUUGAGCUUUGUGAAGGGCCAAAGGAGAGGGUGUUUUGAGGUCACUGGGUCAGCCCGUCUGACAGUAAGUAUUUGGUCAGACGGUCUGACCCAAUACUUUCACUCUAAAUUACUUUCAAUCGAAGAAAUUUAUUUUUUCUCUUUAAAAAAAUACUAACCCUAACAUACUUAUUUCAAGUUAGAAUCGAGUCGAAUAAUCAAACUAAAAAUCCUUUUUUAUUAACCUCACAAUUUCCAUUCUUACUUUUUUUUUUUUGCUAUGACCUAUGAGUAAUUGAGUAGUCACACACACUCUCUCAAAGUAGUAACAAAACCAACAUAUUGAAACUUGAAACCCACGAACCCCCCCAAAAAAAGCCAGAAUUAGAAAUCCGAUAAAAAGCAAAAGAGAAAAACGGAAGCGUGAAGUUUACGCAUUUAAACCAAUCUUUCUGGCAACAACACAUAUGACAUAACACAGCAAAACUCAAACAUACUCCAGUCCACCCAUUACACAUAUUCAAAUCAAAUUAUAUUCAGAGACGUGUUUCAUUUUGGUCGAGAUCCGGCGCUCUUCAUCUCCGCCGGAUUUCGUCCAUUUUUCUUCAAUCUCCAAUAAUAAAUCAACUCAUUUCAAUUCAAUUGAAAAGAAAUUUAAUUUUUUGAAGAGAGAAAAAAAAUGAAAAGAUCUAGCGGUGUUCUUGCUUCUUUUUUAGCCGCUACUACUUUUCCUCUUUUCUCAUACUCUUCUCAAUUUCAGGUAAAACCGUCUUAUGGAAAACAAUCAUCGUCAAUUGGAAAGGAGAAAUUUUCUCCGAGAUUUGACGGGUUAAGGUUUAUUGAAACCUUAAUUACUGCUCAUCGAUGAAAACCCUAGUUUUCGAUUUGAUUUUGGUGUUGAGGUUCGAUGAAAUUAACCUAUUUGUUUGAGUAAUUGAUGUCAUUUUUGUCCGAUGAUGUUUUGAGUAGUACUAAAAUUGGGGUUUUUUUUGGCGGCUUUUUAAGAUGAUGUAAUGUGAUGCCCUAAUGGGCUUCUCUUUUGAUUAUUAAUCAUUAAAGAGUAUUAAGGGCUUGCCCUUUUUAUGUAAUUGUAAUUUGUACCAUACUAUUUUAUAUCAUAUUGGUUUGAUUGAAA